GGUGUACGUAUUAGUUUCACUUCACACAACCCAUUUCUUAGCUCUUAAAAAAAUUAAUUUCUUAAAAUAUGUCUGAUGAAAGUUCUAACUCUUCCAACUCAUCUUCUAAUUCUUCCAAUUCAUCUACCAACCACAACCUCCGAAAUUCGGAUGAUGACUCCGACCAUCUUUAUGAGAGACGCUGACAAGAAAAUCGUUUGGUUGAUAGAAUGAUAGAUGAAUUCAUAACGUCCAACCCAAUUGAAUUCUUUCGAAUGAUCCAUCAAGAUCUGAGGGCACCAAGGACCUUGAUUGAAAGGGAUCGUGAAGAUGGACAUAGCCGUCUAUGGAACGACUACUUUUCUGACCAACCGGUUUACCCUCUAAACUUGUUCCGUUGUAGAUUUCGCAUGAGAAAUCAUGUCUUUCUUCGUAUAAUGCAAACUUUAGAAGAACGUCAUCAGUUUUUUCAACAAAGACCAUAUGCCACUGGUAAAUUAGGGGAAUCAGCUCUACAAUAAUGUACCGCUGCUAUGAGGUUGCUUGCAUACGGUGGUGCGGCUGAUUCCGUUGACGACUACCUACGUAUUAGUGCUUCUCUUGCGAGAGACUUUUACAACAUUUUGUUGAAGGAGUUGUCUCUUACUUCAGUGACGAAUACUUGAGAAGACCCAAGAUUGUUACGAGAUGGUGAGCGCUGAGGUUUUCCAGGCAUGAUAGGAUCCAUUGAUUGCAUGAACUGGCGAUGGAAGAAUUGUCCUUUCAAAUUGAAGGGCAUGUUUUCUGGAAGAGCUAAUAAGCCCACUUUGAUUUUGGAAGCAGUGGCUUCACAAGACCUUUGGAUUUGGCAUGCUUUUUUUGGGACCCCUGGAAGAUGUAAUGAUAUAAAUGUUCUAGAUAGAUCUCCAUUAUUUAAUGAUGUUUUUGAAGGUCGAGCACCUCCUGUUACGUAUGUUGUUAAUGGCCACCAGUAUGAUAUGGGAUAUUAUCUCACUGAUGGUAUUUACCUUUUAUGGGCAACAUUCAUUCCCACAAUAUCUCUUCCCCAAAACGAAAAAGAAGGUCUUUUUUGCCAAAAAGCAAGAGAGUCGGCGGAAGGAUGUGGAACGUGCUUUUGGAGUACUACAAGCUCGUUUUGCAAUAGUUCGUAAUCCUGCUCUAGUUCGGGAUGUUACUAUGUUGGGAAAAAAUAUGAUUGCUUGCAUUAUCAUACAUAACAUGAUCGUCGAAGAUGAGCGGGAUACAUAUUUAACAUAUUAUGAUCCAUAUGAAUAUGACCAGGCCGCUCCUUCGUCUUCAAGCAGAAGAAAUAUUGAAAAACCUUUUCAAUUCAGCAACAGUCGCGACCGACCAACAAUGGUGUUCGUGAUUUAGAGAAGUAGUUGUGAAUCGCUCGUGAUUGAUCAAGGUGAAUUUUUCAGGUGGAAAUUAAUUGAUGCAUACGGAGUCCACGGGAAUUUCACCUAGCUAGGAAAAGUUUGAGUCAUUUUUGUGUCACGAAAUAUGAACGAAUUUUAUUAUGGUUAUUUAAUAAAGAAUAAAGUUUUCCGCUGCAAAAGUAUUUUUGUAUAAGCCUUGCGUUAUACGCGGCGGUAAUACGCCCAAACCUAUCUCUACGGUAUUUAUACGUAUUUUUCUACAAUUUACGUAGAGAGAGAUUUGGGGGUGUUAGAAACAAGUUUAAGGACUUACAUGUCUAAUAUAGCUCGUGUUCAUGAUGAACUUAUGCAUACGAUCCUCAAGUCAGAAUUAGUACAGCAUUUGUGGAGUAAGUAUGGGGUUCCUAGGCAGUAACAAAUGUUUUAUCAUCAGUUUAAGAGUUUUUUUUUUUUACUUUGGUUAAGUGUGCUCAAUUUAUUUUAUAAAUAAUUUUUUUUAUAUAAUAUUUAAGAUUUUUUAAAUUCGCUGUUUUGGAGAAGUGUUCUUGUAUUAUUACGUAUUAUAAUUAUUAUAUAUUAAGGCUCUAAUUUAAGUCAAUCUUUCUUAAUUCCAUAUUAAUAAUUAUAUCACAAAGUAUA